AGCGUACACGGUGGAUGCCCUGGCAGUCAGAGGCGAUGAAGGACGUGCUAAUCUGCGAUAAGCGUCGGUAAGGUGAUAUGAACCGUUAUAACCGGCGAUUUCCGAAUGGGGAAACCCAGUGUGUUUCGACACACUAUCAUUAACUGAAUCCAUAGGUUAAUGAGGCGAACCGGGGGAACUGAAACAUCUAAGUACCCCGAGGAAAAGAAAUCAACCGAGAUUCCCCCAGUAGCGGCGAGCGAACGGGGAGCAGCCCAGAGCCUGAAUCAGUGUGUGUGUUAGUGGAAGCGUCUGGAAAGGCGCGCGAUACAGGGUGACAGCCCCGUACACAAAAAUGCACAUGCUGUGAGCUCGAUGAGUAGGGCGGGACACGUGGUAUCCUGUCUGAAUAUGGGGGGACCAUCCUCCAAGGCUAAAUACUCCUGACUGACCGAUAGUGAACCAGUACCGUGAGGGAAAGGCGAAAAGAACCCCGGCGAGGGGAGUGAAAAAGAACCUGAAACCGUGUACGUACAAGCAGUGGGAGCCUCUUUAUGGGGUGACUGCGUACCUUUUGUAUAAUGGGUCAGCGACUUAUAUUCUGUAGCAAGGUUAACCGAAUAGGGGAGCCGAAGGGAAACCGAGUCUUAACUGGGCGUUAAGUUGCAGGGUAUAGACCCGAAACCCGGUGAUCUAGCCAUGGGCAGGUUGAAGGUUGGGUAACACUAACUGGAGGACCGAACCGACUAAUGUUGAAAAAUUAGCGGAUGACUUGUGGCUGGGGGUGAAAGGCCAAUCAAACCGGGAGAUAGCUGGUUCUCCCCGAAAGCUAUUUAGGUAGCGCCUCGUGAAUUCAUCUCCGGGGGUAGAGCACUGUUUCGGCAAGGGGGUCAUCCCGACUUACCAACCCGAUGCAAACUGCGAAUACCGGAGAAUGUUAUCACGGGAGACACACGGCGGGUGCUAACGUCCGUCGUGAAGAGGGAAACAACCCAGACCGCCAGCUAAGGUCCCAAAGUCAUGGUUAAGUGGGAAACGAUGUGGGAAGGCCCAGACAGCCAGGAUGUUGGCUUAGAAGCAGCCAUCAUUUAAAGAAAGCGUAAUAGCUCACUGGUCGAGUCGGCCUGCGCGGAAGAUGUAACGGGGCUAAACCAUGCACCGAAGCUGCGGCAGCGACGCUUAUGCGUUGUUGGGUAGGGGAGCGUUCUGUAAGCCUGUGAAGGUGUGCUGUGAGGCAUGCUGGAGGUAUCAGAAGUGCGAAUGCUGACAUAAGUAACGAUAAAGCGGGUGAAAAGCCCGCUCGCCGGAAGACCAAGGGUUCCUGUCCAACGUUAAUCGGGGCAGGGUGAGUCGACCCCUAAGGCGAGGCCGAAAGGCGUAGUCGAUGGGAAACAGGUUAAUAUUCCUGUACUUGGUGUUACUGCGAAGGGGGGACGGAGAAGGCUAUGUUGGCCGGGCGACGGUUGUCCCGGUUUAAGCGUGUAGGCUGAUUUUCCAGGCAAAUCCGGAAAAUCAAGGCUGAGGCGUGAUGACGAGGCACUACGGUGCUGAAGCAACAAAUGCCCUGCUUCCAGGAAAAGCCUCUAAGCAUCAGGUAACAUCAAAUCGUACCCCAAACCGACACAGGUGGUCAGGUAGAGAAUACCAAGGCGCUUGAGAGAACUCGGGUGAAGGAACUAGGCAAAAUGGUGCCGUAACUUCGGGAGAAGGCACGCUGAUAUGUAGGUGAAGUCCCUCGCGGAUGGAGCUGAAAUCAGUCGAAGAUACCAGCUGGCUGCAACUGUUUAUUAAAAACACAGCACUGUGCAAACACGAAAGUGGACGUAUACGGUGUGACGCCUGCCCGGUGCCGGAAGGUUAAUUGAUGGGGUCAGCGCAAGCGAAGCUCUUGAUCGAAGCCCCGGUAAACGGCGGCCGUAACUAUAACGGUCCUAAGGUAGCGAAAUUCCUUGUCGGGUAAGUUCCGACCUGCACGAAUGGCGUAAUGAUGGCCAGGCUGUCUCCACCCGAGACUCAGUGAAAUUGAACUCGCUGUGAAGAUGCAGUGUACCCGCGGCAAGACGGAAAGACCCCGUGAACCUUUACUAUAGCUUGACACUGAACAUUGAGCCUUGAUGUGUAGGAUAGGUGGGAGGCUUAGAAGUGUGGACGCCAGUCUGCAUGGAGCCGGCCUUGAAAUACCACCCUUUAAUGUUUGAUGUUCUAACGUGGACCCGUAAUCCGGGUUGCGGACAGUGUCUGGUGGGUAGUUUGACUGGGGCGGUCUCCUCCUAAAGAGUAACGGAGGAGCACGAAGGUUGGCUAAUCCUGGUCGGACAUCAGGAGGUUAGUGCAAUGGCAUAAGCCAGCUUGACUGCGAGCGUGACGGCGCGAGCAGGUGCGAAAGCAGGUCAUAGUGAUCCGGUGGUUCUGAAUGGAAGGGCCAUCGCUCAACGGAUAAAAGGUACUCCGGGGAUAACAGGCUGAUACCGCCCAAGAGUUCAUAUCGACGGCGGUGUUUGGCACCUCGAUGUCGGCUCAUCACAUCCUGGGGCUGAAGUAGGUCCCAAGGGUAUGGCUGUUCGCCAUUUAAAGUGGUACGCGAGCUGGGUUUAGAACGUCGUGAGACAGUUCGGUCCCUAUCUGCCGUGGGCGCUGGAGAACUGAGGGGGCUGCUCCUAGUACGAGAGGACCGGAGUGGACGCAUCACUGGUGUUCGGGUUGUCAUGCCAAUGGCACUGCCCGGUAGCUAAAUGCGGAAGAGAUAAGUGCUGAAAGCAUCUAAGCACGAAACUUGCCCCGAGAUGAGUUCUCCCUGACUCCUUGA
rnacentral:rRNA from 1 species